rnacentral:lncRNA from 1 species
ACAAUACAUGAUCAAUGACUGAUACUCCCUCUCGCAUACAGGCAUUGAACAUGGCACAGAAGGUUUUAUAUCUCUCGACAUCUUUAAAGGUGCCAAAAGAGUCAUUCAAUAAUUGAAUCAUCACCUCUGGUCGCAUAUGUUUGAACUUGUUGGUGCAGAAUUUUAUCGACGUUGGAGAAGCUGGAGUCGAGAGGAUCACCGCCGC